UUGGAGUCAAAAUGUUUGCUCUAUGUCUGAACUGGGAAAAUUAUAUUUAUAUCCAACUGAGUUGACUUUAUCCUGUGCCUUUUAGGUAAACAACCCCGCUGAAUUUGCUUAAGUGAUGUCUGCUGUCGGUUCCUGUCAUUAAUCUGCACCUGGCAGGAGCCUUUCUGAUAGAGUGGCCACUCAGAUAAUAUUUGCUUGAAAACCAGCCUGAGAAUCUGUCACCAAUUUUUGGACAAAAUGGCGACCGGGACAAAAUGAUGACCGGCUGAUGAGACAGCAACAUUUCUGGAACCAGAGAGCACUGUGUCCCCAGCACGGAAGACAGGACUGAUGGCCCACCUGGCCCCAGGAGGCCACCAAGCUGCAUCCCAUGCUUCCUGACCAUCGACACCCCCUACCGAUAACGGGAGCCAGACCAAGCGCACCGGUUCCACUAGUGCUGGUUCCCUUUUUCCAGCCCAAGACAACUUAAAAUAAUCCUACCUAGUUUUACCAGUGGGCGGCUUUACCCCAGCCUCACCUGAUUUUCGUAGAGUCCACCCAGGAGUGCACCCCAAUAAACUUCUCCAGUUUCCUUCA